ensembl:lncRNA
CACACACGGAUGAACUUUUGCUCAUGAGAGUGCAUUGCUGGAAUGUGUGUGAGAGUGAACAGGAGAUGAGGUCACAGGAAGUCAAGCCCUGGCUGCAAUUGUGUGGAAAAAGGACACUUCCUGUUCGCUUCCCCAGUCCGUUGUGUGGAGGGUAACAGUAGCUGCGGCGUCUGCUUCAGUCAGAUCUGUUUGAGGUGGAAUGGCUUUUUUGAGCCCCAUUUCAUCACGUUACACUGGUUUUCUUAAAGAAAAACACAGUCAUGCGGGUUUGGAACGAGACAAGGGUGAGAAACUGUACAUGAACAAUACACCCAUAAACAAACAUGGUAAAGCUGGACGGAAAGUAUUGAACCAGUACAAACACAUUGUGACAGCGCAGGAAAUAUUAACGCUCGCAGUUCUCUUCGUUUUGUCUGGAGGAUCCUCAACAUCGCUCAGGAGA